UGAACAAACAAAGGAAAAUAAAGAGGAAGAGAUACCACCAUGCCAUGAAGACAACACGGGCAAGGCAAUGGAACCGGAGAAUGCACAUGUUCUUAAAUAUGGACGUGAUGAAUCAGAUCUCCCUAAGAAGGGAAAGAGAUUUUGGUUGAGAAGAAGGAAGCAAGUUGUUCGAAAUGGUAAAAACGCUUGUGAUCCACAAUCAUCCCCAAAUCCUGAUCUCAAUAGGAGGAGAAAUUGGGUAUCCAGCAUGUUGAAACGUAACCAAG